GGGUGAAACCUAGAGGUUAGGGUGACUAGCCGAUAACUAGUCUUUUGUUAGUUCGAUUCUAACUUCAUCCU
rnacentral:tRNA from 1 species